UUAUGUGUGAUUGUUGCAUUCAAGCAUACAUGCGUAUCAUAACAUUCAUCACAGAAAAAUAAAUUUCAAGGAAUGAGGUCUUAUUUGCAAAUAUUUUCAGAACAUGGAUUGUGGACUAAGGAACACUAAGAAGUACAGUUUCAGAUGUCCUGAUUUGAAAGAUCUAAGGAAGUUGUCAUCCUUUGUAUUAGAUCCUUUGGACUUCAAGCAACGUCAUGGGAAGCUUUUGUCUGUGUUAUCUACUGAUAUGGUUGAAGGACUUCUGAG
rnacentral:lncRNA from 1 species